rnacentral:rRNA from 1 species
GACGAACGCUGGCGGCGUGCCUAAUACAUGCAAGUAGAACGCAGUUGCGAACGGGUGAGUAACGCGUAGGUAACUUCCUCAUAGCGGGGGAUAACUAUUGGAAACGAUAGCUAAUACCGCAAACUGUGAGAUGGACCUGCGUUGUAUUAGCUAGUUGGUGAGGUAAAGGCUCACCAAGGCGACGAUACAUAGCCGACCUGAGAGGGUGAUCGGCCAAGAUGGGACUGAGACACGGCCCAGACUCCUACGGGAGGGAGGAGUAGGGAAUCUUCGGCAAUUGACGGAAGUCUGAACGAGCAACGCCGCGUGAGUGAAGAAGGUUGUCGGAUCGGAAAGCUCUUUUGUUAGAGGAGCGGUAAAUAACGAGAAAGGGACGGCUAACUACGUGCCAGCAGCCGCGGUAAUAC